rnacentral:rRNA from 1 species
UACGUAGGGGCCGAGCGUUGUCCGGAGUUAUUGGGCGUAAAGCGCGCGCAGGCGGCUUGGCGCGCCCGACGUGAAAGCCCCCGGCUUAACCGGGGAGAGUCGUCGGGGACGGCCGGGCUUGGGGGCGGGAGAGGGUGGUGGAAUUCCCGGUGUAGUGGUGAAAUGCGUAGAGAUCGGGAGGAACACCUGUGGCGAAGGCGGCCACCUGGGCCGACCCUGACGCUGAGGCGCGAAGGCGUGGGGAGCGAACGGG